GCCCAGACUCCUACGGGAGGCAGCAGUGGGGAAUAUUGCACAAUGGGGGAAACCCUGAUGCAGCGACGCCGCGUGAGUGAAGAAGUAUUUCGGUAUGUAAAGCUCUAUCAGCAGGGAAGAAAGGAAGUCCUUUGGACUUUGGACGGUACCUGACCAAGAAGCCCCGGCUAACUACGUGCCAGCAGCCGCGGUAAUACGUAGGGGGCAAGCGUUAUCCGGAUUUACUGGGUGUAAAGGGAGCGUAGACGGCAGCGCAAGUCUGGAGUGAAAUGCCGGGGCCCAACCCCGGAACUGCUUUGGAAACUGUACGGCUGGAGUGCAGGAGAGGUAAGUGGAAUUCCUAGUGUAGCGGUGAAAUGCGUAGAUAUUAGGAGGAACACCAGUGGCGAAGGCGGCUUACUGGACUGUAACUGACGUUGAGGCUCGAAAGCGUGGGGAGCAAACAGGAUUAGAUACCCCGGUAAA
rnacentral:rRNA from 1 species